UGUGUGUGUGUGUUACAGAGAGCGCGACCAUAAGGUAAAGACUGAAAUGACAUGCCGUCGUGUAAAUAAGAUAAAUAACAUAAGGCUAUUUA